rnacentral:rRNA from 1 species
AUUGAACGCUGGCGGCAGGCCUAACACAUGCAAGUCGAACGAGUGGCGGACGGGUGAGUAAUGUAUGGGGAACUGCCUGAUGGAGGGGGAUAACUACUGGAAACGGUAGCUAAUACCGCAUACCAUCGGAUGUGCCCAGAUGGGAUUAGCUAGUAGGUGGGGUAAAGGCUCACCUAGGCGACGAUCCCUAGCUGGUCUGAGAGGAUGACCAGCCAAACUGGAACUGAGACACGGCCCAGACUCCUACGGGAGGCAGCAGUGGGGAAUAUUGCACAAUGGGCGCAAGCCUGAUGCAGCCAUGCCGCGUGUAUGAAGAAGGCUUUAGGGUUGUAAAGUACUUUCAGCGGGGAGGCGUUACCCGCAGAAGAAGCACCGGCUAACUCCGUGCCAGCAGCCGCGGUAAUUC